GAUGAACGCUGGCGGCGUGCUUAAUACAUGCAAGUCGAACGAAGAUAAUAGCAAUAUUGUCUUAGUGGCGAACGGGUGAGUAACGCGUUGGUGACCUGCCCCGAAGAGAGGGAUAACAGUUCGAAAGGAUUGCUAAUACCUCAUGUGGCCAAAGAGCUUAGAUACUCUUUGUCUAAAGGGAGUAAUUCGCUUCGGGAGGGGCCUGCGUCCCAUCAGCUAGUUGGUAAGGUAAUGGCCUACCAAGGCGAUGACGGGUAGGGGACCUGAGAGGGUGGCCCCCCACAAUGGAACUGAAACACGGUCCAUACACCUACGGGAGGCAG
rnacentral:rRNA from 1 species